CAAUGAAUCGCACACUUUAAAAGGGUUACUGUUUAUGCUAUGUAAUUAUAUUUCAAUAAAGCUGUUAUAAAAUGCAAAUUUUAUGGCCUAGAACACUGACUCCUUAACUAUACAGAAGACAUUUGUCAGCAGCCACUGCCACUAUGAAGACGGAGCCUGCUAAGCAGAACACUCUGCAGUUCAACGGUCUGCCGCAACAGCUGCAGAAAGCUCUGGAAGAUCUCCAAGAAGAUGAUUCCACCUGCUCAGUUUCAGAUCAACUGAGAUGGAACCAUCCAUUAACAUCUGAUGUCAUAAUCAGAAGGAGAGGUGGAUGGAUGCAAACAGUGGCCUGAGGAGGGAAAGGAAGUGCGUAGCUACGCUUUAUCAGAAGAUAAAGGUACUUACCAGUUAAUCCCAUUUCACAGGUUAGCCAAGAAUAGUAUGUGAAGGUACAUGAAAUAACUACCUGAUCAAAGAGAAGACCUGCACCGUGUAAGCUGAUCAAUAACAUUGUUCUUGGUUUCCUCAGGGGAGUGCUGCACUUUACCGGCAUCAGCCUUAAACAUGCAUAUGUCCUCUUUUUUGACAUCCACAGAUGUGAAGAAUAUUACAUAUUGUUAAUUGAGUUUCAAUGACCUCAUAAUUAGCUGCACAUUAGUAGAAUUUUGUGCAGUAAUUACUCUGCCAUUAUCAUUAUCUGCUUUCCUCAAGACAUAUUGUUAUUACUCUUGGAUUCUAUUGGCUGGAAAACUAUCUUAAAAUUACCAAAUAUGUAUUAAAUUUCUAUUUUAUAGCAUAUGCUUACAUUGGGGAUAUGAAUAAUAUGCUAAUGACUUUAGAGAACAGACACAUGAAGAUCUGAGUGAUAACAUUCCAGAAAAGAAGUGGAAGUGCAAUGUGGUGGAAGGGUGAGCAAUUAAGAAGUAAGUAUACAGAAGAGAAGAACCCUACAAAGAAAGGCAUUGAGGUUGGACCAAAGCAUCAGUGGGGGCAGAAGGUCUAGAAAAAAUGAGAGACGCUAACAAGGAUCAUUCUUGGGCAAAAUUGAAUCAAGCCUGAAGAGACGGAGUUGGAUAGAAUAUUUGUGAAAAAGCCACUCUAUGGAUUAAGCAAAAAAUGAAGAGAAGUGAUAAUCUAGGAUGGGUAAUGUGACCUAUCACGGUGGGAGCGGGAUCAGCCGGCGGGAGCACUGCUUUGCUGCGGGUGGGUGUGGUGGUGAGCAUGAGAAUGGUUCAACAGAGAACCAUUUAGAGGUGCACAGAGGAUCAUGGUGCUAGGGAAAACAUUUUUAUUCUAAAAUGCCUCAUAUGUUCUGGAAAUAACAAGGCUUAAAUCUUGUUACAUGUUCACUGGAUCUCCAUGAAACAGGUCUUGGGCUGUUUGCUAAAAUCCUGAAUGUGCCAUGUGAGUUCAGCAACACCAUGUGAGUUCGGCCUGGUGUGCUGCCUCUCAGCGGAAUGAAUUCAGACAGUCUCCAUCUGCCAGAGAGGCCAACCCUCACACAAUAUACUGCAACUCCUUGGGCGUGCUGCUCUGGCCUGCCUCGGAAAAUGCGUUGUCCAUCCCACCACAUGGGCCACACAGACCAAGGACGCCUCUUGCUGGACUCCUUUCUGGCCUUUUAAAGACAAGUGGCAGGAGGAAGGACCACUGAAGAUCAGAGGGCCCUCUCAUACCCUUUCACCCACUGGGCUUGCUGCUACGGCUGUGAAUGCUCCUGAAAGUUGCUCGGCAGGCGUAGAUUUCCGAUUGGAAUCCUCCCCGGGAGAAAUAACAAGGACAUGAGCGUGUGCUGGCUGGUGAGCAGAAGUCAGGAUCACCAUCACAGGGGACUUUGUAAAGCCAUGACCUCAGCAAUAUUGGAACAGUACUUGGUAAGUCUGGCAUUAUGGUUAGUGAGAUUAAUAUGAAACUGUUGUCCAUUCUUUCGUUCCUAUUUCAAAGGCAGAGUAGGAGGGAGAG